GCAUUGACCAAACAGAAAACCAUGUGACAAUAAUCUAACCCUCUUUCUACUUGAACUUGAACCACAGACGACAUCCAAAUAUCCUUUCCUCUUCUUUCUCAGUCAGUUUCAUUCAUCAAUUUAAUGAUCAAUAAUUUUAAUCUUAAUUUCCGUCGUUGAAGCAUAUACCUUCUGUCCACCGAUGUUCGAAUGGAAUGGGACAGCAACGAGAAAGGGAGUACUAUGGAGGACGUAAUAUUUUGCCUGCUACAACUCAUGAUAAGUUUCCAGUAAAUUUCGAUCAUGCAUGGAGAAACUAAGGCCAAUAAAGUAUGACAAAAAAAUGGUGAUAAGGAAGAUUUAGAGGUUCAUGGGAAAUGGGAAUGAAGAAGUCUGUCAAAGGCAUUUUUAGCUUCAAAAUAUCAGCUUCAUGCAAGGUGGUGAUGACGACCCAAGGCCCUUUCUUCCUCACUUAAACCAGGCAUAGCUGAUAAAACUUCACCUUCCCAAAUGUUACCAUGGUGACUACUCGAGAGUUGGUGAACUGGGUUUGGCUGCUGCUGCUGGUGAAGGCUCAUAAACACUGUGUCAUUAAUUAGGGAAUCGAGGAAUGAAGAGAAUGUAUCUUCGUUAACAUAGUUUUCCUGGUUGAUGUUUGAAGAAUGGCUAGUUGGUAAACCCAUCAUGAAACCAUCCAUCACCAUUUCGUUAUCCUCCACUUUCUUAUUUUGAUUAUGAUUAUGAAGAUUGAAAACGAAA